rnacentral:SRP_RNA from 12 species
GACAUAAUGAAGGAGAGCCCGCACUGGGCGGGAUCAGGGUGCGCAUCCCGCAAAGGCGGCACGGAAGGGAGCAACGGUGCUGGUGUCUGCUGUGAUUCGGGGACAAGCAGGGGUCG